UACGUAGGGGGCUAGCGUUGUCCGGAUUUAUUGGGCGUAAAGAGCGUGUAGGCGGCCAGGUAGGUCUGCUGUGAAAACUCGAGGCUCAACCUCGAGACGUCGGCGGAAACCAUCUGGCUAGAGUCCGGAAGAGGAGAGUGGAAUUCCUGGUGUAGCGGUGAAAUGCGCAGAUAUCAGGAGGAACACCAAUAGCGAAGGCAGCUCGCUGGGACGUUACUGACACUGAGGCGCGAAAGCGUGGGGAGCGAACAGG
rnacentral:rRNA from 1 species